rnacentral:rRNA from 1 species
GNAUUCCUGCCAGUGACUCACGUUCAACGGCCGCGGUAUCCUAACCGUGCAAAGGUAGCAUAAUCACUUGCCCAUUAAUUGUGGGCUAGAAUGAAAGGACCAACGAAAUAAAAACUGUCUCUAUAAGUCCGAUAAAAAUUAAUCUCUAACUGAAGAUUGUUAGAUAUCAUUGAAGGACAAGAAGACCCUAUAGAGCUUCAUUUUAAUAAAAAUCAAUAUUUUAAUAAAAUUCGGUUGGGGCGACCGGGGAACAUAAAUCAUCCCCUAUAAAAAGAUUAAUCAAUCUUCUUUAUGACCCUUAAUUAAGAUCACCAGAAUAAGCUACCUUAGGGAUAACAGGCUAAUCUCACUAAAGAGUCCUUAUCAAUAGUGAGGGUUGGCACCUCGAUGUUGGCUUAGGGAAUCUGUAUGGCGCAAAAGUCAUAUAAAGAUGGUUUGUUCAACCAAUAAUACCCUACGUGAUCUG